rnacentral:rRNA from 1 species
GGACCGGAGUGGACGAACCUCUGGUGUACCGGUUGUGACGCCAGUCGCAUCGCCGGGUAGCUAAGUUCGGAAGAGAUAAACGCUGAAAGCAUCUAAGCGUGAAACUCGCCUGAAGAUGAGACUUCCCUAGGGAUUUAAUCCCUCUAAAGAGACGUUCGAGACCAGGACGUUGAUAGGUCGGGUGUGGAAGAGUGGUAACACUUGCAGCUAACCGAUACUAAUUGCUCGUGAGGCUUGACUCUAU